rnacentral:rRNA from 1 species
GACGUAGGAGGCAAGCGUUAUCCGGAUUUAUUGGGCGUAAAGCGCGUGCAGGCGGUUUGGUAAGUUGGAUGUGAAAUCUCUCGGCUUAACCGGGAGAGGUCGUUCAAAACUACCAGACUAGAGAAUGGUAGAGGAAGGUGGAAUUCCGGGUGUAGUGGUGAAAUGCGUAGAUAUCCGGAGGAACACCAGUGGCGAAAGCGGCCUUCUGGACCAUUUCUGACGCUAAGAUGCGAAAGCUAGGGUAGCAAACGGG